rnacentral:rRNA from 1 species
GGCUCUCCGUUAUGACCUGGGCUACACACGUGCUACAUGGGCAGAACAGAGGGCAGCGAAGCCGCGAGGCUCUUCAAUCGCACAAAUCUGUUCUGAGGUCGGAUCGCAGUCUGCCACUCGACUGCGUGAAACUGGAAUCGCUAUGAAUCGCGGAUCAUCAUGCCGCGGUGAAUACCUUCCCGGGCCUUGUACACACCGCCCGUCACACCACGAGAGUUUGUAACACCCGAAGUCGGUGAGGUAACCUUUUGGAGCCAUCCGCCGAAGGUGGGACAGAUGAUUGGGGUGAAGUCGUAACAAGGUAGCCGUAUCGGAAGGUGCGGUUGGAUCACCUCCUAAA